AGACCCUCUCUGUCGUGCUGGGGGGAGAGAGUCACAACCAUUUAAUGAAGCACCACUUCAUUCAAGAGAAACACAAGCGUGAACAUUCUGCUAAACUACUUCUGUGUUACCGGAUAUGAACAACAUGAGGGUUUACCGUACUCAGCCGGAUCCGGGCCGUAUCCAAAUCAGAUGAAGGACCUGCGCCUAGGCAUGAACAAAACGCAGCCUUGAAGUAUCAGCAGAGACCGUGUCAACUAGACUAUCUCCUGACUAUCUCUUUUUUUUUUUUUAACGACAAACGUUUUUCCUUUUGAACAGUUGAAAACUUUAUCAAAAUGAAACACGCAAACGACUAAAAACGCUGUAUUAUGCAUCCCAGACAAGUAAUUGGCAAAGUCACUUUCUAAAGAAUGACUACGUGUCCGCACACAAACGCGCAUAUGGAGGGAUUGAAAUCUAAAAGUCUUAAACGAAAACUAAAAGUCUAAUUCGAAAAUGAAUUUGGUAUUUAGGAUUGGGCAUUUGGUAUUUAGGAUAGAGCAUUUUGUCAUUUAGCCAUUUAGGAUUUAGAAUUUGGUAUUUAGGAUUGGGCGUGUAUUUGAGGAAUGUAUGCAAAUAAGGAGGUGUGGUCCAAAUACUGGAGGCUGGGUUUGAAAUGGCUGGUGCGCAGAGGCACCUUAUGGACAGCAGAGGGCGCUCCCAGUGCUUAGGAAUACACUAAUGAAAGCAAACAGAGCGAGUGAGCAGGGCUGGGGGAGCGGAGACUGUACUUUAUAGGGGUGAAAAUAUUCUCACAAAAGUUUUGUCAGUACUACAUAUAUAUAAUGUUGAUUAUAAUGUAUAUUAAUGCAAUGGGGGAAUAUUUGUGGGUCCUGAUAAUGCCAUCUGAUAAUGUAAAAAGUGCCCAACAUUAUUUUAAAUGUAUCUAGUCAGAAAAAGUGCAAGAAUAUUUGUC